AUUGAACGCUGGCGGCAGGCUUAACACAUGCAAGUCGAGCGGGGUGAUGGUGCUUGCACUAUCACUUAGCGGCGGACGGGUGAGUAAUGCUUAGGAAUCUGCCUAUUAGUGGGGGACAACAUCUCGAAAGGGAUGCUAAUACCGCAUACGUCCUACGGGAGAAAGCAGGGGAUCACUUGUGACCUUGCGCUAAUAGAUGAGCCUAAGUCGGAUUAGCUAGUUGGUGGGGUAAAGGCCUACCAAGGCGACGAGCUGUAGCGGGUGUGAGAGGAUGAUCCGCGCCACUGGGACUGAGGCACGGCGCAGACUCCUACGGGGGGCAGCAGUGGGGGAUAUUGGACAAUGGGGGGAACCCUGAGCCAGCCAUGCCGCGUGUGUGAAGAAGGCCUUAUGGUUGUAAAGCACAUUAAGCGAGGAGGAGGCUCUUUUGGUUAAUACCCAAGAUGAGUGGACGUUACUCGAAGAAUAAGCACCGGCUAACUCUGUGCCAGCAGCCGCAGUAA
rnacentral:rRNA from 1 species